CCUACGGGUGGCAGCAGUGAGGAAUAUUGGUCAAUGGACGAAAGUCUGAACCAGCCACGUCGCGUGCAGGAUGACUGCUCUAUGGGUUGUAAACUUCUUUUAUACAGGAGUAAACCUAGACACGUGUGCCUUUUUGCAUGUACUUUAUGAAUAAGGCUCGGCUAACUCCGUGCCAGCAGCCGCGGUAAUACGGAGGAUCUGAGCGUUAUCCGGAUUUAUUGGGUUUAAAGGGUGCGUAGAUGGGUUGUUAAGUCAGUUGUGAAAGGUGGGGGCUCAACUGUAGAAUGGCAAAUGAUACUGGGAGUGUAGAGUAGAGGUGAGGUAGGCGGAAUGCGUGGUGUAGCAGUGAAAUGCUUAGAUAUCGCGAAGAACCCCGAUUGCGAAGGCAGGUUACUAAACUAUAACUGACGUUGAGGCACGAAAGCGUGGGUAUCGAACAGGAUUAGAUACCCUAGUAGUC
rnacentral:rRNA from 1 species